rnacentral:tRNA from 1 species
GGAUGCUUAGUUCAGUGGCAGAACGCUUCGUUCACAUCGAAGAGGUCGCAGGUUCGAUCCCUGCAGCAUCCA